AGUGAACGCUGGCGGUAGGCCUAACACAUGCAAGUCGAACGGCAGCACAGUAAGAGCUUGCUCUUACGGGUGGCGAGUGGCGGACGGGUGAGGAAUACAUCGGAAUCUACUUUUUCGUGGGGGAUAACGUAGGGAAACUUACGCUAAUACCGCAUACGACCUACGGGUGAAAGCAGGGGAUCUUCGGACCUUGCGCGAUUGAAUGAGCCGAUGUCGGAUUAGCUAGUUGGCGGGGUAAAGGCCCACCAAGGCGACGAUCCGUAGCUGGUCUGAGAGGAUGAUCAGCCACACUGGAACUGAGACACGGUCCAGACUCCUACGGGGGGCAGCAGUGGGGAAUAUUGGACAAUGGGCGCAAGCCUGAUCCAGCCAUACCGCGUGGGUGAAGAAGGCCUUCGGGCUGUAAAGCCCUUUUGUUGGGAAAGAAAAGCAGCAGGUUAAUACCCCGCUGUUCUGACGGUACCCAAAGAAUAAGCACCGGCUAACUUCGUG
rnacentral:rRNA from 1 species